GAUGAACGCUGGCGGCGUGCCUAAUACAUGCAAGUCGAGCGAACAGACGAGGAGCUUGCUCCUCUGACGUUAGCGGCGGACGGGUGAGUAACACGUGGAUAACCUACCUAUAAGACUGGGAUAACUUCGGGAAACCGGAGCUAAUACCGGAUAACAUGUUGAACCGCAUGGUUCAACAGUGAAAGACGGUUUUGCUGUCACUUAUAGAUGGAUCCGCGUCGCAUUAGCUAGUUGGUAAGGUAACGGCUUACCAAGGCAACGAUGCGUAGCCGACCUGAGAGGGUGAUCGGCCACACUGGAACUGAGACACGGUCCAGACUCCUACGGGAGGCAGCAGUAGGGAAUCUUCCGCAAUGGGCGAAAGCCUGACGGAGCAACGCCGCGUGAGUGAAGAAGGUCUUCGGAUCGUGAAACUCUGUUAUUAGGGAAGAACAAAUGUGUAAGUAACUAUGCACGUCUUGACGGUACCUAAUCAGAAAGCCACGGCUAACUACGUG
rnacentral:rRNA from 1 species